rnacentral:lncRNA from 1 species
GCCAAAAACAGAAUGGAAAUCUGCCGUCUCACACAUCAGGACUGCAUAAAGGAGAAGACUGAAAGCCCGAUUUCAUAGCAUCAUUAGGAUAUCUACAGAGGUACGUUGACUAACUUUAAUGACUCGUUGGUGUUUACGCAUUUAUAUGAGAAAACUAGACUUAUAAUAAAAAAAAUAAAAAAAUUGAUAGAAUUUUAUUGAACUUGAUUAUUGACGUUAAAGGUAAACAAUUGUUAUUUAAAUGACACUACUCUUCAAAGAAAUAAAUUUUGGAAUUAUGUUCAACUAUUUUCCAAUGACCACGAAUUGUACAAGUCAAAUCGGCAACUGGUCAAAUUAGCAUCUUUAGAAAAUUUCGAAUCGACUUUUUGUUAAAUCGGUAUCUGGUCAAAUCGGCACCUAUUCUUUUAAAAUUACUUACCAAACAUCUCUUAAAAUCGGCUUGUCAUUCAUGAGCAUUGGAAAAAAGAUGCUGUGCAGACUUUCAAAGAUAGACAUAUACCUAAAAGGUUUACAACUAACGCUUUGCAUUUAAAACUUGUUAAUUCGUUCGCUUCUCUGUAAGUAUUAAUCUUCAAUCUAUUAAUUCUUCAAUCUACCAUCCGAUAACCUGAAAAAUGUACGUCUUACAUGCAAUUGAUGCUGAACUACUGUUCAAUUUUACUGGAAAGUUCACAUAGAAAAAUGCAAAGCAACCAAUGAAAUGUAAUGUUUAAUUUUUAAGAAUUCCUUAAUACCAACUUUUAGGCUUCAGUCAAGAUAUUUGGAGACUCAUGUUCAUCUGAGACAUACAUACAAAGAUGUGGUAUGGGUGCCAUUGAGACAAGUCUCCAUUCAAUAUGUUCUCCUGUUAUCUAAAGUACCAAUUGCAAAUGUUUUGGAACAAUAAUAAUAAUAAUGCUUUCAUCUAAAUCUUUACAUUGGUAUAGUACUGGCAUGAGCAUUACGAUCUCUUUACUGUAAGUUAUAAUCUUUAUGAUUACCUGAAGAAAGGUUGAAUUCUAAUGUUGUGCAGUGUACAUGUUUUUCUCCAAAGUAGGUCUUUUCUCAUGAUACUUAAUUAAUUUGAUUAAUUAAUUAAUUAAUUAAUUAAUUAACUUUUUAUUGAACAGACGAGCGUUCUCCUGGUUUUUUUUAUAUUUUGUUUGUAUACAUUAAUGUAGAGAAGUACUUCUUCCUGCUUCAGGUAUAAUCUUCAGAAUGAACAGCACAGCAUUUGUAUUCGCUAUUGUUCUCCUAGCUAUAGGUAACAUUUAACUUUUAUAUGAUAAACUUGCCAUGUAAUAGAAUAUAAGUAACUGUAACAAAUGCAGCUUAUGAAAAUAAUUAUAUAUUCUUUACCUGUUGGACUUUAUUGAUUAUUUAGACUAUUGUUUAGACUUUGGUGUGAACAGAUGGCAAACAUGCGUUUAAAUAUUGAAUAAAGGAUGAAUCGGUUAUAGGACGUACUUAACAAUGUUAAUUGUAAAUUGUUAUAUAAUUUCAAAAAUACAAAAGUUACUAUAAAAAUAAUGAACUAAAGCAUAUAGUGAUCAUGCACUUUCUUCCAGUUUCCCUAAGGUUUCAAUGCUACGAAUUCGUAUUGAGAGAACAAAAACAAAUUUCAAGUGGCAUAUUUUUACAGGUAUGCAAGAAUCAUAUCAGCAAGUUUGUUCUAACAGAUUUUGCAAAACCCGCCCUAACAGCAUUGGAUGUGAAGGUUGUUGUUUAGGAUUUAAGUGUAACGGCGCGCCUGGUUAUUGCGAAAAUUCUAAAUGUUUUUGCAACGGUUGCGAAGUUAAAGCUAACGGUUUGU